GCUUGAAGAACCCAGUUUGUAUCAAACUGGUCAAAUGGUUUCACAUAUAUCUGAUAGACUGUACCAAACAUUUAAUUCAGAAAAAUCCCUCCAUAUGUUUGUUUGCAGCCUUAGGCUACAAUUGGUUUUCUUCCACUUCUAUCUACACUCAGUACCCCGUAAAAACAUAAUAAAAAUGUUUUUUACACCAUUGCAUAUUAACC